GCGGCGCACAUAAGACAUGCAAGUCGAACGAACUUAACCAUUAGUUUACUAUUGGAGCGGUUAGUGGCGGACUGGUGAGUAACACGUAAGCAACCUGCCUAUCAGAGGGGAACAACAGUUAGAAAUGACUGCUAAUACCGCAUAUGCCUUGAGUAUCACAUGGUACAAAAGGGAAAGGAGCAAUCCGCUGAUAGAUGGACUUGCGUCUGAUUAGAUAGUUGGUGAGGUAACGGCCCACCAAGUCGACGAUCAGUAGCCGGACUGAGAGGUUGAACGGCCACAUUGGGACUGAGAUACGGCCCAGACUCCUACGGGAGGCAGCAGUCGGGAAUAUUGCGCAAUGGAGGAAACUCUGACGCAGUGACGCCGCGUGCAGGAAGAAGGUUUUCGGAUUGUAAACUGCUUUAGACAGGGAAGAAACAAGACAGUACCUGUAGAAUAAGCUCCGGCUAACUACGUGUCAGCAGCCGCGGUAAUACGUAGGGAGCAAGCGUUAUCCGGAUUUAUUGGGUGUAAAGGGUGCGUAGACGGGAAAUUAAGUUAGUUGUGAAAUCCCUCGGCUUAACUGAGGAACUGCAACUAAAACUGAUUUUCUUGAGUGCUGGAGAGGAAAGUGGAAUUCCUAGUGUAGCGGUGAAAUGCGUAGAUAUUAGGAGGAACACCAGUGGCGAAGGCGACUUUCUGGACAGUAACUGACGUUGAGGCACGAAAGUGUGGGGAGCAAACAGGAUUAGAUACCCUGGUAGUCCACACCGUAAACGAUGGAUACUAGGUGUAGGGUGUGAUAAACAUUCUGUGCCGUCGCAAACGCAGUAAGUAUCC
rnacentral:rRNA from 1 species